rnacentral:rRNA from 1 species
UCACUAUUGGAGCGGCCGAUAUCAGAUUAGCUAGUUGGUGGGGUAAAGGCCUACCAAGGCCACGAUCUGUAGCUGGUUUGAGAGGACGACCAGCCACACUGGGACUGAGACACGGCCCAG